UUUUCUAGUGUAAAAAUGCAUUUUCUUUAUUGGAGAUUAAUUGUUCUCUCUUGUCUUAUACUCAAUCAAUAAGUUACAUCAAUCUAAAAAGUUCACAUCGGUAAUUAAUGCACUGAUAAAGAUAAAGGAUACAAAAGUUGAAAUAUGGGGACAAUUCUUCACAUUUUCACAUUUAAAAUAUACUGCAAUAGAAAAAGAGAAUAAAAUAUACGUUACUGAAAUGACAAUUAAUAUAUAUAUAUAUAUAUAUAUAUAUAUAUAUAUAUAUUAUUAUAUUAUAUAUAUAUUAUAUAUUAUUAUAUAUAUAUAUAUAUAUUAUUCUAGUGUAAGAAUGCAUUCUUCUUUAGUGGAGAUUUAAUUGUUCUCUUUUGUCUUAUACUCAAUCAAUAAGUUACACCAACCUAAAAAGUUCACAUCGGUAAUUAAUGCCCUGAUAAAAGAAAGGAUACAAGUUGAAAAUAUGGGGACAAUCUUCAUCAAUUUCACAUUUAAAAUAUACUGGAAUAGAAAAAGAGAAUAAAAUAAUGUUACUAAAAUGAUAUAAUGGUUGUCUACAAUGAAAUGUGAAAAAGUUAAAAAAAAUGACUUACCGUCAACCUCCUUUACCACAAGAAAUAGGAAAAUAACUAAAACCGUAUAAUCCAUAAACUUCAGACUUUUAUUCUUAUUUUAGUUUUCUUUGUAUGUAACAAAUAGAAUGCACUUCGAUCACUUUA
rnacentral:lncRNA from 1 species